UUGAUUGGACAAGAGACUCUAAACACAUCAUUUUGGAUCCUUCCCAGAAGCUGUUCUUUCUGUUAGAAGCAAUCUGUGGCAGCGGGGGUGUGGUCAAGUUUCUGCCCGGAGAGAGAGAAAGCGGUAGGGGUGCAUACACCUGAGCCAGAUUAUGAUUAACACCUGUUUCUAGUUGCAGUGAGCUUAGGGAGAGCGGUAUGAAAGGACCACGCCACCGACAAGAAGGAGAGAGAGCCUGAGAUCUUGAGUCCCGCUUUAAUUUAAGACAAUUAAAAAGCCUUACCUGAGACUGAAGAAACCUGGUUCCCUGUGUCUUCCUUCCCUCCCUGUGUGAAGUUUUGUUACACUGGUGCCAAAACCCGGGAACAUGGAACCGAAGGAAGUACGCCCCCUGGAGUCCUCGCCACUGGCUGAAGUCCUCAACUCCCUUGCCGGCCUGCACAGCUCCCACCAACAGGCCCUGCUUGAGCUCCAUCAGGACCAGAAUCACCGCUUCAAUGAGAUCCUCAGGGCUCAAGCAGAGGUCCGGCAGGCGAUCCGAAGCCUCCUCAGCCAGGAGAAAGCCCCGGCUGCAACCCCGGACAACACUAGUCCCUAGCCCCCGCCCUCACUCGUGAAGAUGGGUGCAGAAGAUGACCCCGAAGACUUCCUCGACCUGUUUGAGCAGAACGGCGAGAUCUGCCGUUGGCCAUGUGCUCAGUGGGCGGCCCGGCUUAUCCCUUUGUUGUCCGGGGAGGCCCAGCUCGCAGCUCAACAACUGCCGGCGGCUAGUCUCCUGGCCUAUGACGUCUUGAAGAAAACCAUCCUGCAGUGGGUUGGCCGGAGCCCAGAACAAUACCGCCAGCUCUUCCAGUCGAUAAAGUUGGAGAGGACCGCCGCCCAUUUGCCUUUUCUAAAUGUCUCCAUGACACCUGCCAGAUCUGGCUACUGGCGGGGGACCGCGACAUCAAGGGAAUUAUCGACCAAGUGGUGCUGGAACAGCUUAUCCGUCGGCUUCCAGAAGGGGUGGCAGAAUGGGUCCAGUAUCAUCGCCCGGCAUCGCUGGAGGAAGCGGUCCAGCUGACGGAUGACCAUAUGGUGGUGUACCCAAGGGCGGAAGAGCCCUCUCUCUCUCUCUCUAUCUUCCCCCUGUGCUUCCUCCAUCUCUUGCCACUCCCCCCUCCCCUCUCACUCUGUCCUCUCUCCAGGCCCUGUUCCUGCACCCCGGGGGCGUGGAAACCCACUGCUGAAGCUGGUUCCUUGCUUGCGCCAGUUUAUCCCUUUCCCAGCGACUUCAGUGCCUUCCCGUUCUCCCCCUUCCUCAGGUGUGGGCGUAGCACCUGGGCCAGCCUGCUGGCAUUGCGGUCAUCUGGAACACUUCCAAGAUCAGUGUCCUGUGAUGGAGCUGGGAACUUUUGAGGAACUUUAGUCCGGAUACCUGAUGCUCCACAGGCUGCCCCUGAUCAGGCUGGAGGGUACAGGAUACCGGUUUGUCCGGAUUCGAGACCCAGCUGUUUGGUGCUGCUCCACAUGUUAAUUACGAGAACUGACAUUUAGCGCAGCACUAAAAAUAACCAUAAUAACACACUGGUGAUGAUGAUGAGGAGGUGCUGAUACCCGGCUUGACGUGUGGCAAAGGAACGCCCUACUGUUUCCUCUGGCUGUGUAGCUACAGUCACCAUGACAGCGCAGUGACCCUGUCCCACAGGUGUGGAUGGGGGUCACAUUUGAUUGCAGUCCCUGCAUUUCAAACCUAAAGUAAACACCUGAAAUACAUAGAGGGGAGAGAUUGUCAAAACAAGAUGCUCUUUGUUGUGCAAUUAGAUCCCAAAUCCAGGCACGUCUGGGAUGGCCGCCGCCAAGCAGUGCGAAGUGUACGCAAAGGAACGCAAACAGCAUGCAGUAUGCGGAUGGCUGCUCGUGAUGGAGAUAAUGUCCAUAAUCUGGCACUGGCACACUGAUGGGAUACAACCUGUACUCUACGUUCACUGGGUGGGGCCCAUGGCCCUACCGCUGCAAAUAGCACAAACAUUGCUUUCUCUCAGCAUGGCAGUGAGCAGAGUGAAACAAUAGUGAACUGCGAUCACAUCAACAAUUAUGGUACAGUGUUUUGGCAAAUUAUGGACAUUGCAUGCUGUGUUUUUGGAAAACUAUUGUGGGUUUAAGAGGCCACUUGUGAAAAUUUUUCUAUUUUGCAUUAUUUUCUAAAUCCAUAAUGUUCAUUACAAAUUAUCCCUUACAAAAACUGAGAGUUUAUGACAAAUUUGCCGCAAUCUUGCCGCAAAAUCACCACUUAUCAUUUUCACAUGCAAAUGAGCUUUGCUGCAAACUUGUGGAAAAUUGUCCAUUGUUGCCAAAGGUUUGCUGCAGGUUCACCACUACCGGUGAAGAGCUGCAAACUUCUGGCAAACAUUUGCAUGUGAACUAAUGAGUGGCAAAUUUGUGGCAAGUUUGCCAGAACUCUAGAUUUUUUGUAAGGGAUAUUAUGUCCAUCGUAGGGCUGGGAAAUGUAAUGCGUUAAUUUCUGCGAUUAAUAGUUGACUGUUUAAUCACAUUUUAAAAUAAAUUACGCAAUUAAUGCAGGAUCCAUUUUUUUGUUUGUUUUUUCCCACUUCCUGAAAUGUAUUAAUGUUUUUCCCCACUUUCUGUGGCUAAAAUUGGUAUAUAUAAAUUUUCAGGAGGUACACACUCGGCUUGACUAGCACAGGAUGCAGUGCAUGCUUGUCAUUUUGCAAAAUGCAUGUAAACAUGGGAACUGAUUUACUGUAUGGAGAAUGAAAACUUCACCCGCAAACAGUGAGCCAUAUCUCUUCGCAUCACCCGAAAACGCUCUCCAUCUGACAUUAAAACUUCAGCAAAUGAAACUUUAGCACUCAAUUUAGUUUGUAUCUGUAUGUAUAAUGUCUAAUAAUGAAUUGGAAGUGUACACUUAAGUUUAUCUUGCCAAUAAA